ACGUUGGACCUUUUUAGCGUAGUGCUCACACAGAUUGUUUUGUUAUUGAAUGAUAAAGAACGACCAAGACUAUUGGGGCUAUAGCUCAGCUGGGAGAGCGCCUGAUUUGCAUUCAGGAGGUCAGCAGUUCGAUCCUGCUUAGCUCCACCACAGGCUUGUAGCUCAGCUGGUUAGAGCGCACCCCUGAUAAGGGUGAGGUCGGCAAUUCAAGUCUGCCCAAGCCUACCAAUUUCUUCCUUAUGCUUCGUUAUCGCAACGCUCAUGUGCUACUUGCACACUUCGCGUCACGAUGCCUCGCCUAAGAAAGAAAUACACUAAAAUGUCUUGUUGUUAUGAAGUGUUAAUGAAUGUGUUUUACGAAAUUCAUUGAUUAGUACUUCGGUGCUAAAAGUUCUUUAACAAUUUGGAAAGCUGAUAUUAAUAGUAAUCAAUCUGAAAGAGUAACUGAUGAUGAUUCUUAAUUUAUUAAGAGUCUCUCAAUAGCUACUCUAUCUGACACCGGUACAACUAGUUUGUACCAAUUUGAUUAGUUGUCAUCAUACGACGGUCUACUCCGGUAGACGCCCAACCUUGGACAAAAAGGCGAGGCAACGCGAGUUAUUUUCUGAAAGGUGGAAAGUCAUGUCCCACCAAUUAAGGAAAUAGCGAGUAUUAGGUUUCUCAUCGAGUCAAGUGACGAACGAAGGAAGGCACAUACAUUAAGUAUGUAACUGACUGAGUAAGGAAACGCGACGAAGAGGAGGAAGCUAAGACGAAGCUAUUUGGGG
rnacentral:tRNA from 1 species